AACGUAGGUACCGAGCGUUAUCCGGAUUUACUGGGCGUAAAGCGCGUUCAGGCGGUUUGACAAGUCGGGCAUGAAAUCUCUCGGCUCAACCGGGAGAGGUUGUCCGAUACUGUCAGACUUGAGGGCAGUAGAGGGUGGUGGAAUUCCGGGUGUAGUGGUGAAAUGCGUAGAGAUCCGGAGGAACACCAGUGGCGAAAGCGGCCACCUGGACUGCACCUGACGCUCAAACGCGAAAGCUAGGGGAGCAAACGGG
rnacentral:rRNA from 1 species